rnacentral:rRNA from 1 species
AAUGCUUAGGAAUCUGCCUAUUAGUGGGGGACAACAUUCCGAAAGGAAUGCUAAUACCGCAUACGCCCUACGGGGGAAAGCAGGGGAUCUUCGGACCUUGCGCUAAUAGAUGAGCCUAAGUCAGAUUAGCUAGUUGGUGGGGUAAAGGCCUACCAAGGCGACGAUCUGUAGCGGGUCUGAGAGGAUGAUCCGCCACACUGGGACUGAGACACGGCCCAGACUCCUACAGGAGGCAGCAGUGGGGAAUAUUGGACAAUGGGCGCAAGCCUGAUCCAGCCAUGCCGCGUGUGUGAAGAAGGCCUUUUGGUUGUAAAGCACUUUAAGCGAGGAGGAGGCUACUUGGAUUAAUACUCUAGGAUAGUGGACGUUACUCGCAGAAUAAGCACCGGCUAACUCUGUGCCAGCAGCCGCGGUAAUACAGAGGGUGCGAGCGUUAAUCGGAUUUACUGGGCGUAAAGCGUGCGUAGGCGGCUUCUUAAGUCGGAUGUGAAAUCCCCGAGCUUAACUUGGGAAUUGCAUUCGAUACUGGGAAGCUAGAGUAUGGGAGAGGAUGGUAGAAUUCCAGGUGUAGCGGUGAAAUGCGUAGAGAUCUGGAGG